UACGGAAUGUGCAAACGUUAUUCGGAAUCACUGGGCUUAAAGAGUCCGUAGGCGGCAUGUUAGGUGAGGUGUGAAAUCCCCCGGCUCAACCGAGGAAUUGCGCUUCAAACCGGCGUGCUCGAGGAAGAUAGAGGUGGGCGGAACUGAUGGUGGAGCGGUGAAAUGCGUUGAUAUCAUCAGGAACACCGGAGGCGAAAGCGGCCCACUGGGUCUUUUCUGACGCUGAGGGACGAAAGCUAGGGGAGCAAACAGG
rnacentral:rRNA from 1 species